AACGAACGCUGGCGGCAGGCUUAACACAUGCAAGUCGAACGAUCUCUUCGGAGGUAGUGGCAGACGGGUGAGUAACACGUGGGAACGUACCUUUCAGUCAGGAAUAACUCAUGGAAACGUGAGCUAAUACCCGAUACGCCCUUUUGGGGAAAGAUUUAUCGCUGAAAGAUCGGCCCGCGUCUGAUUAGCUAGUUGGUGGGGUAAUGGCCUACCAAGGCGACGAUCAGUAGCUGGUCUGAGAGGAUGAUCAGCCACACUGGGACUGAGACACGGCCCAGACUCCUACGGGAGGCAGCAGUGGGGAAUAUUGGACAAUGGGCGCAAGCCUGAUCCAGCCAUGCCGCGUGAGUGAUGACGGCCUUAGGGUUGUAAAGCUCUUUCGACGGGGACGAUAAUGACGGUACCCGUAGAAGAAGCCCCGGCUAACUUCGUG
rnacentral:rRNA from 1 species